rnacentral:rRNA from 1 species
AGUGAACGCUGGCGGUAGGCCUAACACAUGCAAGUCGAACGGCAGCACAGUAAGAGCUUGCUCUUACGGGUGGCGAGUGGCGGACGAGUGAGGAAUACAUCGGAAUCUACUUUUUCGUGGGGGAUAACGUAGGGAGACUUACGCUAAUACCGCAUACGACCUACGGGUGAAAGCAGGGGAUCUUCGGACCUUGCGCGAUUGAAUGAGCCGAUGUCGGAUUAGCUAGUUGGCGGGGUAAAGGCCCACCAAGGCGACGAUCCGUAGCUGGUCUGAGAGGAUGAUCAGCCACACUGGAACUGAGACACGGUCCAGACUCCUACGGGGGGCAGCAGUGGGAAAUAUUGGACAAUGGGCGCAAGCCUGAUCCAGCCAUACCGCGUGGGGGAAGAAGGCCUGCGGGUUGUAAAGCCCUUUUGUGGGGAAAAAAAAGCAGCAGGUUAAUACCCCGCUGUUCUGACGGUACCAAAAGAAUAAGCACGGGCUAACUUCG